rnacentral:rRNA from 1 species
UACGUAGGAGCAAGCGUUGUCCGGAAUCAUUGGGCGUAAAGCGCGCGUAGGUGGCCAUGUAAGUCCGUUGUGAAAGUCAAAGGCUCAACCUUUGAAAGCCGAUGGAUACUGCAUGGCUAGAGUACGGAAGAGGCGAGUGGAAUUCCUGGUGUAGCGGUGGAAUGCGCAGAUAUCAGGAGGAACACCAAUAGCGAAGGCAGCUCGCUGGGACGUUACUGACACUGAGGCGCGAAAGCGUGGGGAGCGAACAGG